UACGUAGGUGGCAAGCGUUAUCCGGAAUUAUUGGGCGUAAAGAGCGCGCAGGUGGUUGAUUAAGUCUGAUGUGAAAGCCCACGGCUUAACCGUGGAGGGUCAUUGGAAACUGGUCGACUUGAGUGCAGAAGAGGGAAGUGGAAUUCCUAGUGUAGCGGUGAAAUGCGUAGAGAUUAGGAAGAACACCAGUUGCGAAGGCGGCUCUCUGGACUGUAACUGACGCUGAGGCACGAAAGCGUGGGGAGCAAACAGGAUUAGAUACCCCUGUA
rnacentral:rRNA from 1 species